CCUACGGGAGGCAGCAGUGAGGAAUAUUGGGCAAUGGAGGCAACUCUGACCCAGCCAUGCCGCGUGAGUGAAGAAGGUUUUCUGAUUGUAAAGCUCUUUCCGAUGUGACGAUGAUCACGGUAGCAUCUCAAGAAUCCCCGGCUACCUUCGUCCCAGCAGCCGCGGCAAUACGAAGGGGGCAAGCGUUGUUCGGAAUUACUGGGGGUAAAGGGAGUGUAGGCGGGUUAGUAAGAUAGUGGUGAAAACGCAGGGCUUAACUUUGGGAUUGCCAUUAUAACUAUUAGACUAGAAUGACAGAGAGGAAAGUGGAAUACCCAGUGUAGAGGUGAAAUUCGUAGAUAUUGGGUAGAACACCAGUGGCGAAGGCGGCUAGCUGGAUGGAAAUUGACGCUGAGGCUCGAAAGCAUGGGGAUCAAACAGGAUUAGAUACCCUAGUAGUC
rnacentral:rRNA from 1 species